GAGGGUAUAGUUCAGGGUUAGAGCAGGUGCUUUGCGUGCACGAGGUCCUGGGUUCAAUCCCCAGUACCUCCA
rnacentral:tRNA from 1 species